AAGAGAUUGGAUUAACGGUUAGAUCGCUGUGCUUACAACACAGAAGUAGAGGUUCGAUUCCUCUAUCUCUUA
rnacentral:tRNA from 1 species